UAAAGUCUCUUCACCAUUGUUUCAACAUGAAGGUUUGUAAUAAAAAUUUGUUUCUAUCAGCAUUGCUUUGCAUUGCUAUUGCAGGAGUUUUGGGUCAAGCUCCUAGUAAUCCUCCUACGUCUACGCCGGCGCCACCCACACCACCGGCUUCUACUCCUCCUCCGACGACUCAACCACCGCCUACACCAACCGCCACUCCGCCACCAGUUUCUACUCCUCUUCCCACUUCAUCACCGCCCCCAGUGACAGCUUCUCCACCCCCAGUUUCAACUCCUCCACCCAGUUCUCCUCCUCCCGCAACUCCACCACCUGCUUCUCCACCUCCUGCAACUCCACCUCCAGCUUCUCCACCUCCUGCAACUCCACCUCCAGCUUCUCCACCUCCCGCCACUCCUCCACCAGCAACCCCCCCACCUGCAACUCCUCCUGCUACCCCACCACCAGCUCCAUUGGCUUCUCCUCCAGCCACAGUCCCAGCUAUCUCUCCAGUACAAACACCAUUGACCUCGCCACCAGCUCCGCCGAC
rnacentral:lncRNA from 1 species